UGGCCGCGGCGGGUUUUGCUGGCUGGGCUGCCCGUGGCUGGGCGGCCUGGGACAGGAAAUAGCACGUACUCUAGUUUGUCAUCUUCGCCGGCGGAAUCCGCAACUACAGUGUACUCUGGUUCGAAAGAGGAGGCGGGGCGGUGGGUGUGCCCUUGCUGAGUGGAUUGCACAACACCAAACCGACCUUCGCGAGAGCGCAGUGACAGUGCAGUAAAUACAAUUGCAAUCAGAGCAAAUGGCAAAUGGCAAAUGGCAAAUGGCAAAUGCAAUUCGGGGAUGGAUAAUUAAUUCCACACGGCCAAGAGUCACUAAAUUUUUAUAGGCA
rnacentral:sRNA from 1 species